rnacentral:misc_RNA from 1 species
GAUGAAGAACGUAGCGAAAUGCGAUAAGUAAUGUGAAUUGCAGAAUUCAGUGAAUCAUCGAAUCUUUGAACGCACAUUGCGCCCGCCAGUAUUCUGGCGGGCAUGCCUGUUCGAGCGUCAUUUCAACCAUCAAGCCCCAGGCUUGUGUUGGGGACCUGCGGCUGCCGCAGGCCCUGAAAACCAGUGGCGGGCUCGCUGUCACACCGGGCGUAGUAGAUUUUAUCUCGCUCAGGGCGUGCUGCGGGUUCCGGCCGUUAAAAAGCCUUUUUACCCAAGGUUGACCUCGGAUCAGGUAGGAAUACCCGCUGAACUUAAGCAUAUCAAUAAGCGGAGGA